GAGUUUGAUCAUGGCUCAGAUUGAACGCUGGCGGCAUGCCUUACACAUGCAAGUCGAACGGCAGCACGGGAGCUUGCUCCUGGUGGCGAGUGGCGAACGGGUGAGUAAUGCAUCGGGAACGUAUCCUGGAUGGGGGAUAACGUAGCGAAAGUUACGCUAAUACCGCAUAUUCUGUAGAGCAGGAAAGCGGGGGACCUUCGGGCCUCGCGCUCUUGGAGCGGCCGAUGUCGGAUUAGCUAGUUGGUGAGGU
rnacentral:rRNA from 1 species